AACGAACGCUGGCGGCAUGCCUAACACAUGCAAGUCGAACGAUCCCUUCGGGGAUAGUGGCGCACGGGUGCGUAACGCGUGGGAACCUGCCCUUAGGUUCGGAAUAACUCAGAGAAAUUUGAGCUAAUACCGGAUAAUGUCUUCGGACCAAAGAUUUAUCGCCUUUGGAUGGGCCCGCGUUGGAUUAGCUAGUUGGUGGGGUAAAGGCCUACCAAGGCGACGAUCCAUAGCUGGUCUGAGAGGAUGAUCAGCCACACUGGGACUGAGACACGGCCCAGACUCCUACGGGAGGCAGCAGUGGGGAAUAUUGGACAAUGGGCGAAAGCCUGAUCCAGCAAUGCUGCGUGAGUGAUGAAGGCCUUAGGGUUGUAAAGCUCUUUUACCCGGGAUGAUAAUGACAGUACCGGGAGAAUAAGCCCCGGCUAACUCCGUG
rnacentral:rRNA from 1 species